AGGCCAUCGAGAAACUAAGCAAG
rnacentral:piRNA from 1 species